rnacentral:rRNA from 1 species
CGACCGGCGCACGGGUGAGUAACACGUAUCCGACCUGCCGAUAACUCGGGGAUAGCCUUUCGAAAGAAAGAUUAAUAUCCGAUAGCAUAUCAAUCCCACAUGAGAUUGAUAUUAAAGAAUUUCGGUUAUCGAUGGGGAUGCGUUCCAUUAGUUUGUUGGCGGGGUAACGGCCCACCAAGACUACGAUGGAUAGGGGUUCUGAGAGGAAGGUCCCCCACAUUGGAACUGAGACACGGUCCAA